rnacentral:rRNA from 1 species
UUAAACGCUGGCGGCGUGCCUAAUACAUGCAAGUCGAGCGAACAGACGAGGAGCUUGCUCCUCUGACGUUAGCGGCGGACGGGUGAGUAACACGUGGAUAACCUACCUAUAAGACUGGGAUAACUUCGGGAAACCGGAGCUAAUACCGGAUAAUAUAUUGAACCGCAUGGUUCAAUAGUGAAAGACGGUUUUGCUGUCACUUAUAGAUGGAUCCGCGCCGCAUUAGCUAGUUGGUAAGGUAACGGCUUACCAAGGCGACGAUGCGUAGCCGACCUGAGAGGGUGAUCGGCCACACUGGAACUGAGACACGGUCCAGACUCCUACGGGAGGCAGCAGUAGGGAAUCUUCCGCAAUGGGCGAAAGCCUGACGGAGCAACGCUGCGUGAGUGAUGAAGGUCUUCGGAUCGUAAAACUCUGUUAUUAGGGAAGAACAAAUGUGUAAGUAACUAUGCACGUCUUGACGGUACCUAAUCAGAAAGCCACGGCUAACUACGUG